rnacentral:rRNA from 1 species
GUCUACGGCCAUGCCACCCUGAACGUGCCCAAUCUUGUCUGAUCUUGGAAGCUAAGCAGGGUCGGGCCUGGUUAGUACUUGGAUGGGAGACCACCUAGGAAGACCAGGCGCUGUAGGCG